GAUGAACGCUGGCGGCGUGCCUAAUACAUGCAAGUCGAGCGAACGGACGAGAAGCUUGCUUCUCUGAUGUUAGCGGCGGACGGGUGAGUAACACGUGGAUAACCUACCUAUAAGACUGGGAUAACUUCGGGAAACCGGAGCUAAUACCGGAUAAUAUUUUGAACCGCAUGGUUCAAAAGUGAAAGACGGUCUUGCUGUCACUUAUAGAUGGAUCCGCGCUGCAUUAGCUAGUUGGUAAGGUAACGGCUUACCAAGGCAACGAUGCAUAGCCGACCUGAGAGGGUGAUCGGCCACACUGGAACUGAGACACGGUCCAGACUCCUACGGGAGGCAGCAGUAGGGAAUCUUCCGCAAUGGGCGAAAGCCUGAUGGAGCAACGCCGCGUGAGUGAUGAAGGUCUUCGGAUCGUAAAACUCUGUUAUUAGGGAAGAACAUAUGUGUAAGUAACUGUGCACAUCUUGACGGUACCUAAUCAGGAAGCCACGGCUAACUACGUG
rnacentral:rRNA from 1 species